rnacentral:rRNA from 1 species
UACGAAGGGUGCAAGCGUUACUCGGAAUUACUGGGCGUAAAGCGUGCGUAGGUGGUUUGUUAAGUCUGUUGUGAAAGCCCCGGGCUCAACCUGGGAAUGGCAAUGGAUACUGGCAAGCUAGAGUGCGGUAGAGGGUAGUGGAAUUCCCGGUGUAGCGGUGAAAUGCGUAGAGAUCGGGAGGAACACCAGUGGCGAAGGCGGGGUCUCUGGACAGUUCCUGACGCUGAGGCACGAAGGUCAGGGGAGCAAACGGG